UGACUGCGUACCUUUUGUAUAAUGGGUCAGCGACUUACAUUUAGUAGCGAGGUUAAGCGAAUAGCGGAGCCGUAGGGAAACCGAGUGUUAACUGCGCGUUUAGUUGCUAGGUGUAGACCCGAAACCCGGUGAUCUAGCCAUGGGCAGGUUGAAGGUUGAGUAACAUCAACUGGAGGACCGAACCGACUAAUGUUGAAAAAUUAGCGGAUGACUUGUGGCUGGGGGUGAAAGGCCAAUCAAACCGGGAGAUAUCUGGUUCUCCUCGAAAGCUAUUUAGGUAGCGCCUCGGACGAACACCUUUGGGGGUAGAGCACUGUUAAGGCUAGGGGGUCAUCCCGACUUACCAACCCUUUGCAAACUCCGAAUACCAAAGAGUGCUAUCCGGGAGACAGACGGCGGGUGCUAACGUCCGUCGUCAAAAGGGAAACAACCCAGACCGUCAGCUAAGGUCCCAAAGUAAUUGCUAAGUGGGAAACGAUGUGGGAAGGCUUAGACAGCUAGGAUGUUGGCUUAGAAGCAGCCAUCAUUUAAAGAAAGCGUAAUAGCUCACUAGUCGAGUCGGCCUGCGCGGAAGAUGUAACGGGGCUAAGCAAUUCACCGAAGCUACGGGUACUGAUGCUUGCAUCAGUGCGGUAGAGGAGCGUUCUGUAAGCCGUUGAAGGCGAAGGGGUAACCCACGCUGGAGGUAUCAGAAGUGCGAAUGCUGACAUGAGUAACGAUAAAGGGGGUGAAAAACCCCCUCGCCGAAAGACCAAGGGUUCCUGUCCAACGUUAAUCGGGGCAGGGUGAGUCGACCCCUAAGGCGAGGCUGAAAGGCGUAGUCGAUGGGAAACGGGUUAAUAUUCCCGUACUUCUGCUAACUGCGAUGGAGAGACGGAGAAGGCUAGGCCGGCGCGGCGUUGGUAGUCCGCGUUUAAGGUAGUAGGUGGUGUGCUUAGGCAAAUCCGGGCACACAUACACUGAGAGCUGACGACGAGUCCCUAAGGGGAUGAAGUGGUUGAUGCCAUGCUUCCAGGAAAAUCUUCUAAGCUUCAGGUUAGCAGGAAUCGUACCCCAAACCGACACAGGUGGUCGGGUAGAGAAUACCAAGGCGCUUGAGAGAACUCGGCUGAAGGAACUAGGCAAAAUGGUACCGUAACUUCGGGAGAAGGUACGCUCCUGUUGGUGAUGAGACUUGCUCUCUGAGCUGACGGGAGUCGCAGAUACCAGGUGGCUGCAACUGUUUAUCAAAAACACAGCACUGUGCAAAAUCGCAAGAUGACGUAUACGGUGUGACGCCUGCCCGGUGCCGGAAGGUUAAUUGAUUGGGUUAUCUUCGGAGAAGCUCAUGAUCGAAGCCCCGGUAAACGGCGGCCGUAACUAUAACGGUCCUAAGGUAGCGAAAUUCCUUGUCGGGUAAGUUCCGACCUGCACGAAUGGCGUAAUGAUGGCCACGCUGUCUCCAGCCGAGACUCAGUGAAGUUGAAAUUGCGGUGAAGAUGCCGUAUACCCGCGGCUAGACGGAAAGACCCCGUGAACCUUUACUAUAGCUUGGCACUGAACAUUGACCCUACAUGUGUAGGAUAGGUGGGAGACUAUGAAGAUGAGACGCCAGUCUUGUUGGAGUCAACCUUGAAAUACCACCCUUGUAGUGUUGAUGUUCUAACCUGGGCCCCUAAUCGGGGUUAGGGACAGUGCCUGGUGGGUAGUUUGACUGGGGCGGUCUCCUCCCAAAGAGUAACGGAGGAGCACGAAGGUUGGCUAAGUACGGUCGGACAUCGUACGGUUAGUGUAAUGGCAUAAGCCAGCUUAACUGCGAGACAGACACGUCGAGCAGGUGCGAAAGCAGGUCAUAGUGAUCCGGUGGUUCUGAAUGGAAGGGCCAUCGCUCAACGGAUAAAAGGUACUCCGGGGAUAACAGGCUGAUACCGCCCAAGAGUUCAUAUCGACGGCGGUGUUUGGCACCUCGAUGUCGGCUCAUCACAUCCUGGGGCUGAAGUCGGUCCCAAGGGUAUGGCUGUUCGCCAUUUAAAGUGGUACGCGAGCUGGGUUCAGAACGUCGUGAGACAGUUCGGUCCCUAUCUGCCGUGGGCGUUGGAUGAUUGAGGGGAGCUGCUCCUAGUACGAGAGGACCGGAGUGGACGAACCGCUGGUGUUCGGGUUGUCAUGCCAAUGGCAUUGCCCGGUAGCUACGUUCGGAAUCGAUAACCGCUGAAAGCAUCUAAGCGGGAAGCGAGCCCCAAGAUGAGUCAUCCCUAGGGCCUAGAGCCCUCUGAAGAGCCGUUCGAGACCAGGACGUUGAUAGGCAGGGUGUGUAAGCGUUGCGAGGCGUUGAGCUAACCUGUACUAAUGACUCGAGAGGCUUAACCAU
rnacentral:rRNA from 1 species